rnacentral:misc_RNA from 1 species
AUUACCAGUGUCUUCAAUACAUCCCAACUUAACAAAUUUUCCGAAGUUCUCCCAGAAUUUUUUGUAAUCCUCCUUGUUCUCACUCUCAGAGAGAUCCUGAAUCAUGUCGAAUGUUUUUCUCACUAGUCUCUUUCUCAUUAUCCGAACAAUUCGGCUCUCCUGCAGGAUUUCUCGUGAAACAUUAAGAGGAAGGUCAUUUGAGUCCACCACUCCUUUAACAAAGCUCAGGUACCUCGGAAACAACUCCCCAUCAAAAUCAUCAGAAAUAAAGACACGUUUCACAUACAAACGUAUGUUCUUUGUCUUGGGAUUUACGACAUCUUCAUUGUUAAGAGGAGCCAUUCCAGGUAUAUACAAGACACUUCUAAACUCCACCUCACCCUCUGUAGUGAAGUGAGUGUGGGCAAGUGGAUCCAAGAACUCAUUAAAAGUUCUCUUGUAGAAUUCUUGAUACUGUUCUUUCUCAACUUCUUUUGGAUUCCGCAUCCAGAUAGGUUUUGUCUCAUUUGUCAACUCCCAAUCAAAGUACUUCUCAGUUUUGGUCUUCUUUGUCAUUUUCUUCUCUUCCUCUGUUUUUUCUUCUCCUUCCUUUGGUUCUUCUUCUUCCUCUACCUCAAUUGUUCUUGAUUUCUCCUGCCACGUGUAAAUUGGAAAAGAUACAAACUGUGAAUAAUUCUUCACCAAAUCUUGGAUCUUCUUCGGCUCACAAUACUCGUAUUUGUCAUCAUCCCUCAAAUAAAGUGUAAUUUGUGUUCCUCG